rnacentral:rRNA from 1 species
GACGAACGCUGGCGGCGUGCUUAACACAUGCAAGUCGAACGGUGAAGCGCCUUCCUUUUUGGUGGGUGUGGAUGAGUGGCGAACGGGUGAGUAACACGUGAGUAACCUGCCCCCUUCUUCUGGAUAACCGCAUGAAAGUGUGGCGAAUACGGGAUAUUCUGGGUCUGUCGCAUGAUGGGUCUGGGAAAGAUAUUGUUUCGGUGGGGGAUGGGCUCGCGGCCUAUCAGCUUGUUGGUGGGGUGAUGGCCUACCAAGGCGGUGACGGGUAGCCGGCCUGAGAGGGUGCACGGUCACACUGGGACUGGGACACGGCCCAGACUCCUACGGGAGGCAGCAGUGGGGAAUAUUGCACAAUGGGCGCAAGCCUGAUGCAGCGACGCCGCGUGAGGGAUGGAGGCCUUCGGGUUGUGAACCUCUUUCGCCAGUGAAGCAGGCCUGCCUCGUUUGUGGGUGGGUUGACGGUAGCUGGAUAAGAAGCGCCGGCUAACUACGUG